rnacentral:rRNA from 1 species
UUACGAGGUCAGGACACUGUGAGGAUUGACAGAUUGAAAGCUCUUUCUUGAUUCAGUGGGUGGUGGUACAUGGCCGUUCUUAGCUGGUGGAGUGAUUUGUCUGGUUAAUUCCGUUAACGAACGAGACCUUAACCUGCUAAAUAGUCACGCGAACCGGUCCGCAAGGGCUCAAAGUUCGCGGCUCGACUUCUUAGAGGGACUAUUCGCACCCGCCAGCGAAUGGAAGUUUGAGGCAAUAACAGGUCUGUGAUACCCUUAGAUGUUCUCGGCCGCACGCGCGUUACACUGACAGAGUCAACGAGCGUUUUUCCUUGCCCGACAGGGCUGGGUAACCUCCUGAAACUCCGUCGUGAUGGGGAUAGAUCAUUGCAAUUAUUGAUCUUGAACGAGGAAUUCCUAGUAGGCGCGAGUCAUCAACUCGCGCCGAUUACGUCCCUGCCCUCUGUACACACCGCCCGUCGCUCCUACCGAUUGAACGGUCCGGCGAGAACUCCGGAUGGUC